UUCGCAAUGCCCGAAAGGGUGACGAUGCGACGCCGCGUGAGCGAAGAAGGCCCUAGGGUUGUAAAGCUCUGUCAGGGGUUAAGAAAUGUAGAUAGGUUAAUACCCUGUUUAUUUGACAAAAGCCCCAAAGGAAGCCACGGCUAACUCUGUGCCAGCAGCCGCGGUAAUACAGAGGUGGCAAGCGUUGUUCGGUAUUAUUGGGCGUAAAGAGCACGUAGGUGGUUUUGUAAGUCAGAUGUGAAAGCCUUCUGUUCAAAGGAAGAACGGCAUCUGAAACUGCAAAUCUUGAGUGUAGGAGGGGAGAGUGGAACUUCUGGUGGAGCGGUGAAAUGCGUAGAUAUCAGAAGGAACGUCGGCGGCGAAAGCGACUCUCUGGCCUAUUACUGACACUGAGUGUGCGAAAGUUAGGGGAGCAAACGGGAUUAGAUACCCCGGUAGUCCUAACCGUAAACGAUGGGCACUAAGUAGAGGGGUUUU
rnacentral:rRNA from 3 species